UACAGAGGUCUCAAGCGUUGUUCGGAUUCAUUGGGCGUAAAGGGUGCGUAGGUGGCGCCGUAAGUCAGGUGUGAAAUUUCGGAGCUCAACUCCGAAACUGCAUUUGAUACUGCGGUGCUUGAGGACUGGAGAGGAGAUUGGAAUUCACGGUGUAGCAGUGAAAUGCGUAGAUAUCGUGAGGAAGACCAGUGGCGAAGGCGGAUCUCUGGACAGUUCCUGACACUGAGGCACGAAGGCCAGGGGAGCAAACGGG
rnacentral:rRNA from 1 species